CUAGCUGGUCUGAGAGGAUGACCAGCCACACUGGAACUGAGACACGGUCCAGACUCCUACGGGAGGCAGCAGUGGGGAAUAUUGCACAAUGGGCGCAAGCCUGAUGCAGCCAUGCCGCGUGUAUGAAGAAGGCCUUCGGGUUGUAAAGUACUUUCAGCGGGGAGGAAGGGAGUAAAGUUAAUACCUUUGCUCAUUGACGUUACCCGCAGAAGAAGCACCGGCUAACUCCGUGCCAGCAGCCGCGGUAAUACGGAGGGUGCAAGCGUUAAUCGGAAUUACUGGGCGUAAAGCGCACGCAGGCGGUUUGUUAAGUCAGAUGUGAAAUCCCCGGGCUCAACCUGGGAACUGCAUCUGAUACUGGCAAGCUUGAGUCUCGUAGAGGGGGGUAGAAUUCCAGGUGUAGCGGUGAAAUGCGUAGAGAUCUGGAGGAAUACCGGUGGCGAAGGCGGCCC
rnacentral:rRNA from 1 species